rnacentral:rRNA from 1 species
CCUACGGGCGGCAGCAGUGAGGAAUAUUGGUCAAUGGUCGGGAGUCUGAACCAGCCAAGCCGCGUGCGGGAGGACGGUACAGAGUAUUGUAAACCUCUUUUGUCAGGGAGUAAACGCUGCUACGCGUCCCUGUCUGAAUGUAUCUUAAGAAUAAGCAUCGGCUAACUCCGUGCCAGCAGCCGCGGUAAUACGGAGGAUUCAAGCGUUAUCCGGAUUUAUUGGGUUUAAAGGGUGCGUAGGCGGUCGGUUAAGUUAGAGGUGAAAUCCCGAGGGUCAACCCCGGCAUCGCCGUUGAUACUGGCAGUCUAGAGAUGGGGUGCAGUAGGCGGAAUGCAUGGUGUAGCGGUGAAAUGCAUAGAGAUCACACAGAACUCCGAUUGCGAAGGCAGCAUGCC